rnacentral:rRNA from 1 species
AAAACGACUCUCGGCAACGGAUAUCUCGGCUCUCGCAUCGAUGAAGAACGUAGCGAAAUGCGAUACUUGGUGUGAAUUGCAGAAUCCCGUGAACCAUCGAGUCUUUGAACGCAAGUUGCGCCCGAGCCCUCGGGCGAGGGCACGUCUGCCUGGGCGUCACGC